UUCUUUAACUCUGCAUUUGGGUAAAAAGCUGCCCUAGGAACUUGGCCAAGGGGUGCCUGGAAAUUCUUUCAUCAAGGAGCAUUUAUCAAGAUUUGAAAAUCGCAAGCUCUUACCCGGAAAGGCACAGCUAGAGCUCAUCUCUGGGGAGGGCUAGUGGUAAUAAACAAAAGGCGUGGAACCUGGAGGCGGUGCUCCUCAGUUUCAGGUUGGCUUCCAGACUUGAGCUCCUCGAACCCAAGAAGGCCCGUUCGACCAACUCCUCAACUGGACAUCACCGUCCCCCUUAAAGGGCUCCUGGGAAGACGGCCUGAGGUGAUGCUCACGGAGCGCCUAAUGUAAGACCUGGUACUCAAGGAUUUACCAGAUAGGAGAUAAUAGAAAGCCAGUGAAGGUUUCUGGGCAGGGAAGAGCACGGCCAAAUAUCAUCUAGAAAGCCUGCAAGUCUCCAACAUUCACGUUAGCAGAGCCAUGCUGCUGUGAAAAAAAAAAAAAAAAAAAAUCCCUU